GCGGAUAUGAUGAAAUUGGUAGACAUGUUAGAUUUAGAUUCUAAUGAUAACUUAUAAUCAUGGGGGUUCGAAUCCCUCUAUCCGUA
rnacentral:tRNA from 1 species